AGGCGGGAACAGUGGCUAAUGGCUCCGCUUCUUUGAUUGUUUUUUUUUUAAAUAUUGACUACUAUUUGCUAUUUGCUUUGGUAGAAGAUAAAGAUAAUUGACCAAUGGAUGUGGGAUUCACACUGUCAUGAUGUCGGAGCAACUCAGAUACCACCUUCUCGAAAGUCUUCUGCAUAAAAUAGAAAUGGGAUUCAGCGCGACUCCACUAAAUUUGGAUUACCUGGAGUUCCUUUGUCAUCAGGAGCUGUAUCUUCUGCAGGCCCUGUCUAAUCACAUUGAAGUACCUCCUGCUAUCACCCUGGCUUUGCAAGAGCUCUUUGACCUUGUGAGGGCACAUCUGGAACGUCCAGCCCCAUGUGUCACACAAGAAGUCACUGCCACCAAAGGACGACCCAAGAUUUUGAUUGAAGAACAACGUUUGAAAGAAAUGCUCUAUACACAACUUGCUGUGCCUUGCAUAGCCACACUGAUGGGUGUUUCAAGAAGAACAAUCUUAAGAGGAAUGAAAGAGUAUGAGCUCUGUGUUAGGGACACAUAUAAUUCCAUCCGUGGUGAGGAACUUGACAAUUUGGUUUCUUCUGUCAAGAAUGAUCUACCAAAUGCAGGCUACAAGAUGGUCAGAGGGAGGCUGCAGUCAAUGGGCUACAGGGUUCGGUGGAGAAGAGUUGCAGCCUCCAUGCAUAGGGUUGAUUCCAUGGGCAUCAUAUCAAGGUUGUCAAGUCUUGGCUGUGUUGUACGCAGAAUGUACUCUGUACCAGCGCCCUUGUCUCUGGUACAACGUGGACACAAACCACAAGUUGAUCCGGUUUGUAUUAACAGCAAAUUCAUUUGAAGUUUGUUCAUCUACAGCCCUGGGUGGAUUGGUGUGAGGUGGUGGUGGGGCUUUGGAGAAGAUUUCCUGCCGAUCAACACUGGCAGCUUAUAUCUAUGUGUCAUGGAGGUCUCGGGACUCACAGAUAUUCAGAGACAUGUGGAUAGUUUACCAGUGUUUUUCAGCAGGAAAUAGUUAUUACUACAAAUUGUCACCCCCCCCCCCACAGAAACUGCAUCUGGCUAUAGUGGGAAAAUCUUUGUUUUUUUAUUAUUUGUGAGAACUUGACAGCCCUUAAAUUGCUUUCAGCAAAGUAAACAAAACUUGGAAAAAAUAUAUGCUCAUUCACCAGCAGUUUCUAAUCUGGGGUCUAAAGUGGUCAGGCUUGCAAGUGUAUUUGGUUAUUUGUCUAUCCUAGCCUGUUGCAGUGUAUAUUUCCUGUAUAUUUUGCAUAUAAAAAUGUUGUAUGUUAUGUCAGUGCUUAAUAUUAUCAUGUAGUCUUCAUGAACUUUGUUUUAACCCGACUUAAUGGCUUUCUUCAUCUUGGCCAGGGACUGCAUUUGAAAAGUAGCCACUUGACUAAAACUGGCACGUUUUCAGAAAUGCCAGCAACAAUAGUGAUAAUGAACACCCCUCUAACUGACUCUCAGUUGGUUUAGAAAAAAGACUUUUAAGAGAAAAGAAAGCCUUCCUUUGGUUUUGCAUUUUUCUCUUUUUUGUUAGCUGUGCACAUCAUAUCAGAAGAAUACAUCACAAUUAAAUUAGUUAAGAAAUAACAGACUACGUAUAUACAAUAUUAAGGUGAUAACAACAACCCUCACUGUCUCUUGGUGCUGGUUCAGACAGGGCAUUCUGCAGCAGGGACACCACCCGUAAAUCUCCCUAUCACAACAGCCCACACAACAGAAUAACAUUAGCGUUUGAUUCAGUAGGGCUAGUCCGGGUCUGGAAAGCAGUUGGGCCAGAUUUUCAAACCAAGAAAUUUAGCUGGGCCAGACAUUUUCAGCGGCCCAGUAAGCAGCAGGUAAUGGCAUUUUAAACAAACACAAAUCAAGGUACAUUAUUUUAAAAAGAUACAACUGAACAGAAUCUGAGAGCAAUAUUUUUUUUCCACUUCUGCAAUAAGAAAAAUAUUUUGGUCGUAUCUGACCUAGACACAUCUCAAAGUGCAUAAAAAGAAAAAUUGGGGAAAAAAAGGGAAAAACUGGCUAUAAUCAUCAUCCGCUUAUACUGUAGUGAUCCAUUUCACCCACACAGGCAUGAUCACCAUAAGCGGUUUCCACAUUAUUGUCGAGGUGACUAUUCACUUUACCUCUGCUUUCUCCGACAUCUUCCUGAUUCUGCCGCCAACAAGGGGCUCAUAGGGUGGAGACUGAGGGUGUUAAACAGACCAAUCUUACUUUUGUCCCUGAAUGCAACAAAUAAUGUUGUAUUUAUCUGUCAAAAGUCCAGCACCAAGAAAAGCAACAGAGCGAUGAUAGAAACUGCAAUAAUAAUGGAAGUGCGCCGCCCUACAGGGAAGGAGGAGUGAUGGGAGUCCAGGUGGUGGCUAAGCGUGCGUGGGGAGAGGCGUCGUACUGUGAGGCUUUAUGAACUUCCGAUGGGGCAGUGCUGUCAUACAGGGGGGAGCCUUAGAGGGGCACUGUGGCCGCGUGCGAGAGCCCUGGGUAAUGAGUGGUAGAGCUGCGCAGGAACUGAGAGCCCAAGCUGUUGUACAUUCCACUGGACUGGGAAACUGGAGUGAGCGAGGAGGAGCUCAUUGACCACAAACCGGGAUACUGGCUGUGUGUGAGCAAUGGGGUGGAGAUUAAGGAAAGACGUUAAAUCAGCAUGCAGUGUUGCCUGGAAAAAACAACAAAUAGUGUCACUGUACUAAAACAAUAUCAAAAUAAUGCCUAUUUUUUAUUCAUUUUACUUGUAGAGUGCAAAGUACAAAGGAAAACAAAGAGUAACUAUGCUGAAAUAAAUCAAAGCAUGUCCCAGAAUGCAGUGAUGGGCCUGAAUGGAUCAGGACAGAAGAAGGUGAAAGACCUGUUAACGAGGUGAGACGAUGCAGACACAGGCCGGGAUGUGGGUAUAGGCGAGAACAAGAGGGAAGACGGGGGCCCAAGACUCAGCAUGGGGGCAGGUGGGGGAGGGGAGGCACGGGCUCACCUGGAGCUGCUCCCGGAGGUGCCGCUAUGACUCAUGGGUAACAUGCCGGAAUGGGACGGCACCUGUAGGCUGGACCAGUUGUCAUGGGACGGCAACAUGGACAGACAGGUAGACGAGGUGUCUGAAUAAGCAGCUGCAAGUAUAAAACAAUAAAUGAAGCAGGUAUGUGGUGGGCAGUGUCCUUAAUAUGGUCAGUACAGAAAAGGCAUGUCAUCAUGUUAUGUAUAUACUACCUCCAGUUACUUAAUGCCUAACUUUAAUACAUUGAUUGAUUUGUUCACUGCUGUAGCCUGUGUCAACUUUCCUUUCAGACAGAUGUAAAGUCCUUUCUGUUUUUGUUCUGCUGAGUUUCUUUUGAACAGCAUAUGGCUGAAUUCUGUUAAACCUCAGACUGAAGAGAAUUGUGUUAAUUGAAAAGCAAAUAUCAAAAACUCAGUCCGCAGGAAUGUUUUUCAGAAGAUUUCUGUGGACUUUUGGAAAUUUCACGAAAUUCCAUCGCUCGAUUACAUAAACACUGAGUGAGAUUUCAUUGCCAUUACUGCAACGUAUGAAGAGGAUUAUGACUUAUUACUUUAGGUUAUCGGACUGAGUGAGUUUUGGAAAUUUGCUCUUCAAUCGAUAACUGAAGCAGGGCUGCGAAUGCAGAGGUUAUAUACGUCGCAUAUCAACAGAACUGUAUGUGUAUGUCUUGUCUUAAUUAUUUUGAUUAAAUGUCUGACUAUUCCCA